GACGAACCGUACGAACGUUAUUCGGAAUUACUGGGCUUAAAGGGUGCGUAGGCUGUGCAGAAAGUUGGGUGUGAAAUCCCUUAGCCUAACUGAGGAACUGCGCCCAAAACUACUGUGCUAGAGGAAGACAGGGGUAAGCGGAACUUACGGUGGAGCGGUGAAAUGCGUUGAUAUCAUCAGGAACACCGGAGGCGAAGGCGGCCCACUGGGUCUUUUCUGACGCUGAGGUGCGAAAGCGUGGGGAGCAAACAGG
rnacentral:rRNA from 1 species